UUGAUUUGAUUUGGGAAAACUUGUUCAGUUUAUCUGAUAAUGGAAAAUGAAGACCUACUCAACCCAGAUGAUGAAAUCCAUCUGUAUGCACUGCAUUGGAGCUUUUUACCACACAUCCAGAGGCACCUGGAUUUCUUUAAGGAAGGGUGGAACAACCACAAACUGCGAACUGAAUACAAUCAGUCACCUCUUCAGAUAUGGACCCUAAACCAGCGUGAGGGGGAAGAACCUGCGCAGACUGAUCAUGAGUAUGGAAUAGACUGGGAAGAUCCAUCUGGUUACCGCACUGAAGGCCUCAUCAUUCCUGAAGUACAGCUUCCAAGGGCAUUGAGUCCUGAAGAAAUUCAGCAGUUACCAAAUCCUCAUGGCUCAUUUUCUGAUGUGUUAAAUGUGUAUAGUGCCACAGUUGCUACUGUAACUCAAAUGUUUCAAAUCUAAAUCAGAUUAAAUGUCUAUACUUUGAAUAUGA